rnacentral:rRNA from 1 species
UACGAAGGGUGCAAGCGUUAAUCGGAAUUACUGGGCGUAAAGCGUGCGUAGGCGGUCUGUCGCGUCUGCCGUGAAAACCCGAGGCUUAACCUCGUGGCUUGCGGUGGAUACGGGCAGACUAGAGGUAGGUAGGGGAGAAUGGAAUUCCCGGUGUAGCGGUGAAAUGCGCAGAUAUCGGGAGGAACACCGGUGGCGAAGGCGGUUCUCUGGGCCGAUACUGACGCUGAGGAGCGAAAGCGUGGGGAGCGAACAGG